rnacentral:rRNA from 1 species
UGGCGGCACUAGCGCGGUGGUCCCACCUGACCCCAUGCCGAACUCAGAAGUGAAACGCCUUAGCGCCGAUGGUAGUGUGGGGUCUCCCCAUGUGAGAGUAGGGAACUGCCAGGCA